rnacentral:rRNA from 1 species
UACGGAGGGUGCGAGCGUUGUCCGGAAUCAUUGGGCGUAAAGGGCGCGUAGGUGGCCCGGUCAGUUCGUGGUGAAAGCGCGGGGCUCAACCCUGCGUCGGCCAUGAAUACUGCCGCGGCUGGAGCACUGUAGAGGCAGGCGGAAUUCCGGGGUGUAGCGGUGGAAUGCGUAGAGAUCCGGAAGAACACCGGUGGCGAAGGCGGCCUGCUGG